rnacentral:rRNA from 1 species
UAAUACGUAAGGGGCAAGCGUUGUCCGGAAUCACUGGGCGUAAAGCGCACGUAGGCGGUUUAGCAAGUUGGGGGUGUAAGCUCUAGGCUUAACCUAGAAAUUGCCUCCAAAACUACUUCACUUGAGUAUUAGAGGGGAAGCUGGAAUUCACGGUGUAGCGGUGAAAUGCGUAGAUAUCGUGGAGAACACCCGUGGCGAAGGCGGGCUUCUGGCUAAUGACUGACGCUGAGGUGCGAAAGCUAGGGGAGCGAACGGGAUUAGAUACCCCGGUAGUCCUAGCCGUAAACGAUGAGUACUAGGUGUGGGGGGUAAAACCUCCGUGCCGACGCCAACGCAUUAAGUACUCCGCCUGGGGACUACGGCCGCAAGGUUA